UCCUCUGAGAGUGCCGCACACACACACAGACGCCAGCCCACCCAGUGCCGUCUCUGAACUCACUAGGUGAUCUCUUUGCAGGGCUCUGUAUCCGCUAGAACUGCCUUUCUGCACAUUCUUUACAUGCAAGUGACUCUGUCACCCCUAUGGCUGAGAAAUGACACCCCCAUCUUUCUGCUUUGAAGCAGCUUGUUCAAGCCUAUAGCUUCACACAGCCGUGAUAGGAGCUGGAGACAUCUGAAGGCAGUUGGCAUCUUCGUCGAGCCCUCUGGCCACUCCAUAGCAAGUUAGAGUCUGUGAACACGUCUUCAUGGAGCACACAUCCUCCUCCACCUCUUCUCUCUUCAAAACCUAAAAGGCGGGCUUCCAGCUCAAGACCGAUGGUGCCUUUCUGAAAGUUCUCUGAAAUAAAAAUGAGACGUUAUAAAAAUAUUAUCCUUGAGCAAUUAAAAGAACAGGAAGGGGGGAAAUCACUAAUUUCAACAAAUUUCCAGAAGACAUAGAAGGGAUGCCUGAGUGUUGGCAGGUGGGAUGGGCAGAGCAACAGGCGGCUGAAUGCAGCAGCUUGGAGCACAGGAGGGAGUUAGAGAGAAGACCGGGGACCAUCUGCACAAUGUAACUCACGGAGGGGAAGCGUGGCUGCCUAAAAUGAACGGGUUCAUUGAAAGCCUGUGUUUAGCAGAUCUGCUGGUACCACCGCACCCCGUAAACAGAGCUCAGGCAGCUGAUACUUAUCACCAGACUGUCCCCGCUCCACCAAAAAACAAGAAGAAAAGAAAAAAACCCUCUUUUCUAAAGAAACCAAAAAUAUUUGUUAAAAAUAUUAACUGUAGUCAAGAGUCUCUUUAGACAAAUUAUUUUUAAGUAAUAAUUUCUUUAAAAUUUUGCAGAGAAGAGCAGUGGAUACUGGACUUGGGAAUUCCUUUAACAGGAAAUUGAAUUUUAAACAAAUCAAUCUAUUUUUUUAAGGAAAUAAGCCUUAUGUGGGUUGCUCUGUUAUCCCCAGCCUGGACCUAAGCUGUUUCUACUCCACGUUCAGGCAUGUUCAAGCAUGCCUAACACAAUUUGGGGGCUGUUGGCCAGAAAUCUAUAUUCGGAAAGCCUGAGGGUCCAGGCAGAACUCAGUGGAAAAGAAAAGUGUCAGGGAGGCAGUGUGACCCGUAACAAGGGUUUCCCAAUCAGAGGAGAAAAAUGAUGGUGUGUACAGCAAGCCAUUGUUUCCAGGCCAGCCUCCCCGGACUGGACUCAUACUUGCUUUUCAAAGAGACUAAAAUCAAGUUCUGUUAGGACUGAAAGCUCCCAGCACUCUAGCGGAGGAAACACCAUUCUGUCACCUAAUAAAGAGAGGGUAUCAGAGAGGAAGAGGAGGAUUCUCCCCACUCUGGGGCCCGAGUCCCUCCAGAGCCCUGGUGUGUGAAUAGCUGCAGUGUCCAGGGGAGGGCAGGAUGCAGCGCCUAGCUGAGGAAGCAACAGAGCGCAAGAAAGAAGCAGCACAAUGGAUGCCUCCCCAGGCCUGAAGACCCUCUCACGGGGCCAGGACUAUCCUUCCUCACGAGCACACCCUGGACCCCCAGGAACAACUUCAAAUGCU
rnacentral:lncRNA from 1 species